GACGAACGCUGGCGGCGUGCUUAACACAUGCAAGUCGAACGGUGAAGGGACCAGCUUGCUGGUUCUGGAUGAGUGGCGAACGGGUGAGUAACACGUGAGUAACCUGCCCCCUUCUUCUGGAUAACCGCAUGAAAGUGUGGCUAAUACGGGAUAUUCUGGGUCUGUCGCAUGGCGGGCCCGGGAAAGAUAUUGCUUCGGUGGGGGAUGGGCUCGCGGCCUAUCAGCUUGUUGGUGGGGUGAUGGCCUACCAAGGCGGUGACGGGUAGCCGGCCUGAGAGGGUGGACGGUCACACUGGGACUGAGACACGGCCCAGACUCCUACGGGAGGCAGCAGUGGGGAAUAGUGCACAAUGGGCGCAAGCCUGAUGCAGCGACGCCGCGUGAGGGAGGGAGGCCUUCGGGGUGUAAACCUCUUUCGACAGUGAAGCAGGCCUGCUCCUUGUGGGUGGGUUGACGGUAGCUGGAGAAGAAGCGCCGGCUAACUACGUG
rnacentral:rRNA from 1 species